AUUUUCAAUAUUAUCAAAUUCAUUUUAUUGACCACUUUAUUUAUUUAAAUCUAUCUUUCUUACUUUAAGAUUCCAUUAAUAAAUUUAUGUAAAGUUAAUAGUCAAAUGAGAUAUUAAAAAACUAAUACAGUUUUUAGGCCUAUAUAAUAGAAGUUAUGUUAGUCUUACUCGUUACAAAGAAACAAAAUAUAAAUUGAAAUCUUACAAAAUGGCAUGUCACACCAAUCAAUCUUGUUUUGAUGGUUAGUUCGGGAUUGGUUACCAGUAUUUUGGUCCCUCCCGGAGGAGUUUGUAUAGGGCCUUGUGUUGCAACGUGCGACCAGGAUUGCCGUGGCAAGGGAUUUGGAAAAGGGGGACAAUGUUAUACUCAUCUUGAGAAGACAACAUGUUGUUUUCACCAAAGAAUUUUAUUGUAUGAGUUCAAUAAAAAUAAUAAAACGGGCACUUCAGUUUAGCUCUGGAA